GAUGAACGCUGGCGGCGUGCCUAAUACAUGCAAGUCGAACGAACAGACGAGCUUCUUGCUCUUCUUACGUUAUCCUCGGACGGGUGAGUAACACGUGGCUAACCUACCUUUAAGACUGGGCUUACUUCUGGAACCCGGAGCUAAUACCUGAUACUCUAUUGAACCGCAUGGUUCAGUCGUUAGUGACGGUUUUGCUGUUACUUAUAGAUGGUUCCGCGCCGCAUUAGCUAGUUGUUAAGGUAACGGCUUACCAAGGCAACGAUGCGUAGCCGACCGGAGAGGGUGAUCGGCCACACUGGAACUGAGACACGGUCAAGACUCAGACGGGAGGGAGAAGUAGGGAAGCUGCAGAAAGGGGCGAAAGCCGGAGGGAGCAACGGCGCGGGAGUGAUGAAGGUCUUCGGAUCGGAAAACUCUGUUACUAGGGAAGAACAAAUGUGUAAGUAACUAUGCACGUCGUGACGGUACCGAAUGAGAAAGCCACGGCUAACUACGUG
rnacentral:rRNA from 1 species